CCUACGGGGGGCUGCAGUGGGGAAUAUUGCACAAUGGGCGCAAGCCUGAUGCAGCCAUGCCGCGUGUGUGAAGAAGGCCUUCGGGUUGUAAAGCACUUUCAGCGGGGAGGAAGGCGUUAAGGUUAAUAACCUUGUCGAUUGACGUUACCCGCAGAAGAAGCACCGGCUAACUCCGUGCCAGCAGCCGCGGUAAUACGGAGGGUGCAAGCGUUAAUCGGAAUUACUGGGCGUAAAGCGCACGCAGGCGGUCUGUCAAGUCGGAUGUGAAAUCCCCGGGCUCAACCUGGGAACUGCAUUCGAAACUGGCAGGCUAGAGUCUUGUAGAGGGGGGUAGAAUUCCAGGUGUAGCGGUGAAAUGCGUAGAGAUCUGGAGGAAUACCGGUGGCGAAGGCAGCCCCCUGGACAAAGACUGACGCUCAGGUGCGAAAGCGUGGGGAGCAAACAGGAUUAGAUACCCGGGUAGUC
rnacentral:rRNA from 1 species